GGAAAAGAAACUAACAAGGAUUCCCCUAGUAACUGCGAGUGAAGCGGGAAAAGCUCAAAUUUAAAAUCUGGCGGUCUUUGGCCGUCCGAGUUGUAAUCUAGAGAAGUAAUGCCCGUGCUGGACCGUGUAUAAGUCUCCUGGGAUGGGGCGUCAUAGAGGGUGAGAAUCCCGUCUUUGACACGGACUACCAGUGCAUUGUGGUAUGCUCUCAAAGAGUCGAGUUGUUUGGGAAUGCAGCUCAAAAUGGGUGGUAAAUUCCAUCUAAAGCUAAAUAUUGGCGAGAGACCGAUAGCGAACAAGUACCGUGAGGGAAAGAUGAAAAGAACUUUGGAAAGAGAGUUAAACAGUACGUGAAAUUGCUGAAAGGGAAACGCUUGAAGUCAGUCGCGUUGGCCAGGGAUCAGCCUUGCUUUUGCAUGGUGUACUUUCUGGUUGACGGGUCAGCAUCAAUUUUGACCGCUGGAAAAGGGCCUGGGGAAUGUGGCAGCUUCGGCUGUGUUAUAGCCCCUGGUCGCAUACAGUGGUUGGGAUUGAGGAACUCAGCACGCCGCAAGGCCGGGUUUCGACCACGUUCGUGCUUAGGAUGCUGGCAUAAUGGCUUUAAGCGACCCGUCUUGAAACACGGACCAAGGAGUCUAACAUGCCUGCGAGUAUUUGGGUGGAAAACCCGAGUGCGCAAUGAAAGUGAAAGUUGAGAUCCCUGUCGUGGGGAGCAUCGACGCCCGGACCAGAACUUUUGGGACGGAUCCGCGGUGGAGCAUGUAGGUUGGGACCCGAAAGAUGGUGAACNAUGCCUGAAUAGGGUGAAGCC
rnacentral:rRNA from 1 species